UAAGGGCACCACAAGAACGCGUGGAGCAUGUGGCUUAAUUUGACUCAACGCGGGAAAGCUUAUCGGGUCCGGACACACUGAGGAUUGACAGGCGAGAUAUACUUUUUGCUAUAUCGCUACAUUUGUAAGUCCUUUCAUGAUUGUGUGAUAGGUGGUGCAUGGCCGUUCUUAGUUCGUGGAGUGAUCUGUCUGCUUAAUUGCGUUUCAGAUAAAAGGCACUAUACUGCGAGGUGUAUCGUGACUUGUUUACGUAUACGCUGAGCGGAUAUGCCUUUGAAAGCAACGAACGUGACCUCAGCUCGAUGUUAUGUACAUAUUAUAAGUACAAAUAACCUUCGAGGACUGCCAUGGUGUAAACCAGGAGGAAGGUUGAGGCAAUAACAGGUCUGUGAUGCCCUUAGAUGUUCCGGGCUGCACACGUGCUACAAUGAUUGUUGCAGAAAGUAUCUGCAUAAGCAAGCCACUAUAGGUUUAUUCCUAUAGGCUAGGCUUCAGUAUACUCUUUAUUGAGUAAACAAAAGACCUAUCUCGAAAGUUCGAUAGGCAAUCAAUUCCAAGUGAUAAUCUCUCACAUACCCCGCACAAGUCCAAGCAAGAGUGUAAGCCGCAAUAUGAGUUUACUCGUAAUGUGAACUUCGCCUUGCUGUGCUCUGUAAAUUCAUGGUCGGGACAGACCAUUGAAUAAUUGUUGGUCUCGGUCUCAACUAGGAAUGCCUUGUACGGGUCUCUGGUUCAACAAACCACCCGGAAUACGUCCCUGCCCUUUGUACACACCGCCCGUCA
rnacentral:rRNA from 1 species